ACACUCCUGCGGGAGGCAGCAGUGGGGAAUUUUGGACAAUGGGCGAAAGCCUGAUCCAGCAAUGCAGCGUGAGUGAAGAAGGCCUUCGGGUUGUAAAGCUCUUUUGUCAGGGAAGAAACGGUGAAAGCUAAUAUCUUUUGCUAAUGACGGUACCUGAAGAAUAAGCACCGGCUAACUACGUGCCAGCAGCCGCGGUAAUACGUAGGGUGCAAGCGUUAAUCGGAAUUACUGGGCGUAAAGCGUGCGCAGGCGGUUUUGUAAGUCUGAUGUGAAAUCCCCGGGCUCAACCUGGGAAUUGCAUUGGAGACUGCAAGGCUAGAAUCUGGCAGAGGGGGGUAGAAUUCCACGUGUAGCAGUGAAAUGCGUAGAUAUGUGGAGGAACACCGAUGGCGAAGGCAGCCCCCUGGGUCAAGAUUGACGCUCAUGCACGAAAGCGUGGGGAGCAAACAGGAUUAGAAACCCCAGUAGUCCC
rnacentral:rRNA from 1 species